ensembl:lncRNA
AGGUAGCACCUGCCUUCCGAGAGCUGACAGAACGCCGAGGGCAGGCCAGCUGCUACCCCCGGUUCACAGCCAGGUGCCCUGGGAACUGUGUGGCUCGGGGACAACUGCCCAGAGCUCAGGUCCAGUGCUCAGCAUGAGGACUCCUUUGUUUGGGGAUUUUUCUCGGGUGACCCCUCCGGAGCCAGAAGCCAUUUUCCUCUCCGAGAUGUUCCAUCGCCCUUGCUUGUCCCAGGUCUUGGGCCAGCAGUGGCCGUCUUCCACUCUGGGAGCCAGAGAAGCAGGAGGGGGGCUGGGAUGCCAAGGCCGCUCGCGUACGUUUCCACCAGCUGUAUGUGGAAUGGGGCCAGACUCCACAUGUGGCAGCUCCUCUCCUGACCGACAUCCGUCCCCGCCUGAGGCCUCGGGAAAAUUCCAUGAUGUGGCUGUGCUGAGUCAUGCUUAGUGUCUGAGGAUCCGUAUGUCACCUUUCGCGUGUCUGUCACUGGUCAGCCCUGGGUCUGGGAAAGGCUGCAGCUUCCACAGCAGCCGUGAUAUCCUGCUGCUGAUCCUUUCUGUUUACCCACUGCUGUGUGCCUCUCCCGAGUGCUUUGACUGCUGUGCCGUUUAUCAGUAUAUCAUUGAUUAAUAUUAAAUACUAAGUGGAUUACUUAUUCUGGAAAAUAUUCUUCUCAUGAAUGAAGAAACUGAGGUUUGGAGAGACUAAGUGACUUGGAGAAUUUUGGGUGACUGGCGAGUGGCAAGUCUGGGUGAGAUUUUUGAUGAUAUCUCACUCCCACACACCCCCCCUUGUGGUUUCUUGUGUAAUGCAAAGAUUAUUCAGAAGAUACUUUGGUUGAAAAAAAUGAUUUUCAAUUUGUUCAAGUUACAAACUCAAAAAAAAACUCACUCUUUAAGGGCUAGACUUUUCCAUUUAGCUUUUAAGUAUAGCCUACAAAUCUUUUCUGUUCUUUUUUUUUUUUUUUUCUCUUUUUGAUUCUAGAAAAUUUUAACAAUCACUUUAAGGGGCCCUUUGGUUAAUACUGAUCCAUUUGCAAGAUUAACUCAUUGGAAAAUUCCAGAUCGAGUUUAUGAAUGACGUUCAACUUCCUUUAAUUAAUACUUGCAAGUGUCUGAUUAACAAAAUCUUUAAUACUUCAGUAUUCCUGUAAAUCUAAUAAUUUAAAUGGACUCAGUUUUUCUUAAGCAUUCCUGUGUUGUUUUAUGUUUUAUUAUUGACGCAGCUUUAUUGAGGUAUUUUUGACAGAAUAAACUGCACAUAUUUUAAGUGUAUGCUUUAUGUUUUGACAUAUGCAUAUACUUGUGAAAUCAUAACUGCAAUUAGGACAGUGAUUAUCCCAAAGCAUCCCCACGCCCCUGGGCAAUCCCUCCCUCCCUCAUGCCCCUUGGCAAUUCCUCUUUGCCUCCCUCACCCACAUGCAACCCUGAACUGUUUUCUGUUACUAUAGAUUAGGUUGCAAUUUCUGGAAUUUUCCAGAAGCGGAAUCAUGUAGUGUGCAUUCCUUUUUGGUCUGGCUUCAUUCACUCGGCAUAAUUAUUUUGGAAUUUGUCCAUAUUGUGUGUACCAAUAGUUCCUUUCAUUGCUGAGUAAUAUUCCAUUAGCGGAAAUUCCACAAGUUGUUUCUCCACUCACCUUUUGUUGGUCAUUUUCGUUGUUUCCAGUUUUUGGCGAUUCUAAAUAAAGGUGCUCUGAGCCUCUGUGUAC